rnacentral:rRNA from 1 species
UACGUAGGCAGCAAGCGUUGUUCGGAAUCACUGGGCGUAAAGGGUGCGUAGGCGGGUUUUUAAGUCAGAGGUGAAAUCCUGGAGCUCAACUCCAGAACUGCCUUUGAUACUGAAAGUCUUGAGUAUGGGAGAGGUGAGUGGAACUGCGAGUGUAGAGGUGAAAUUCGUAGAUAUUCGCAAGAACACCAGUGGCGAAGGCGGCUCACUGGCCCAUAACUGACGCUGAGGCACGAAAGCGUGGGGAAGCAAACAGGGAUUAAGAAACCCU